GCCCGGAUGGCGGAAUCGGCAGACGCAGAGGGCUUAAACCCCUCGGCUCGGCAAGAGCGUGUGGGUUCGAAUCCCACUCCGGGCA
rnacentral:tRNA from 1 species